rnacentral:rRNA from 1 species
GAUGAACGCUGGCGGCGUGCCUAACACAUGCAAGUCGAGCGAUUCUCUUCGGAGAAGAGCGGCGGACGGGUGAGUAACGCGUGGGUAACCUGCCUCAUACACAUGGAUAACAUACCGAAAGGUAUGCUAAUACAAGAUGAUAUAAGAGAUUCGCAUGGAUUUCUUAUCAAAGCUCCGGCGGUAUGAGAUGGACCCGCGUCUGAUUAGCUAGUUGGUAAGGUGACGGCUUACCAAGGCGACGAUCAGUAGCCGACCUGAGAGGGUGAUCGGCCACAUUGGAACUGAGACACGGCCCAGACUCCUACGGGAGCAGCAGUGGGGAAUAUUGGCACAAUGGAGGAAACUCUGAUGCAGCGAACGCGCGUGAGUGAAG